rnacentral:rRNA from 1 species
GAUGAACGCUGGCGGCGUGCCUAAUACAUGCAAGUCGAGCGAACAGACGAGGAGCUUGCUCCUCUGACGUUAGCGGCGGACGGGUGAGUAACACGUGGAUAACCUACCUAUAAGACUGGGAUAACUUCGGGAAACCGGAGCUAAUACCGGAUAAUAUAUUGAACCGCAUGGUUCAAUAGUGAAAGACGGUUUUGCUGUCACUUAUAGAUGGAUCCGCGCCGCAUUAGCUAGUUGGUAAGGUAACGGCUUACCAAGGCAACGAUGCUUAGCCGACCUGAGAGGGUGAUCGGCCACACUGGAACUGAGACACGGUCCAGACUCCUACGGGAGGCAGCAGUAGGGAAUCUUCCGCAAUGGGCGAAAGCCUGACGGGGCAACGCCGCGUGAGUGAUGAAGGUCUUCGGAUCGUAAAACUCUGUUAUUAGGGAAGAACAAAUGUGUAAGUAACUAUGCACGUCUUGACGGUACCUAAUCAGAAAGCCACGGCUAACUACGU